rnacentral:rRNA from 1 species
CGAAAGCCUGAUCCAGCAAUGCCGCGUGUGCGAUGAAGGCCUUCGGGUUGUAAAGCACUUUUGUCAGGGAAGAAAUUGUUUAGGUUAAUACCCUAAAAUGUUGACGGUACCUGAAGAAUAAGCACCGGCUAACUACGUGCCAGCAGCCGCGGUAAUACGUAGGGUGCAAGCGUUAAUCGGAAUUACUGGGCGUAAAGCGUGCGCAGGCGGUUUGUUAAGACAGUUGUGAAAUCCCCGGGCUCAACCUGGGAACCGCAAUUGUGACUGGCAAGCUAGAGUUUGGCAGAGGGGGGUGGAAUUCCU